rnacentral:rRNA from 1 species
AUCUAUAGCCACACCAUCUUGUAUGCACCCAAUCUUGUCUGAUCUUAGAAGCUAAGCAAGAUUGGAACUGGUUAGAACUUAGAUGAGAGACCUCCUGGAAAUAUGGGGUACUGUAGGCU